UAUCAAGAUAUCGUUUGUAGGAUUAAAGCUUUUGAGACACACAAGCUUGUACUUUGCAGAGUAUACAGCACUCUUUUUGUCUAUUCUUUUAGUCGUAAGGGCUUUAUCAGUUUUGAAAUUGCAAAAGGGCAAUCAAAUGCCUGAAGAUUACCCCAGAUCUUUCAGAGAAGCAGCUGCAGUUUUCCAGCACGCUCAAGUAUACGACUCUGACAAGAAAAUUGUCAAGCAUAUGAGACCCAUACCACAAGAGCUUGUGGAGUCCCUUGAUGGAGAACUUGAUUUCCUUGGAUCGUAUUUUUUUGUUAUUUAUUUCUUCUUGUUGUCAGGUUAAAUUUAUUCUUACCUACAAGGUUUGCCUGUUUCAUAUCACAUUUAUUUU